rnacentral:rRNA from 1 species
AAUAAACGUUGGCGGCGUGCCUGAUGCAUGCAAGUCGAACGGUCUUAUAGUUCGCAAGGAUUGUUAGAUAGUGGCGAACGGCUGAGUAACGCGUAAGUAACCUGCCUCUAAGUGGGGAAUAACUUGCCGAAAGGCAAGCUAAUACCGCAUAUGUUGAUAGAUUGAUGGUCUAUUCAGUAAAGCCGUAAGGCGCUUGGAGAGGGGCUUGCGUCUGAUUAGCUUGUUGGUGGGGUAAUGGCUUACCAAGGCGAUGAUCAGUAGCUGGUCUGAGAGGACAACCAGCCAGACGGGGACUGAGAUACGGCCCUGACUCCUACGGGAGGCAGCAGCAAGGAAUUUUGCGCAAUGGGCGAAAGCCUGACGCAGCGACGCCGCGUGGGGGAUGAAUGCCUUCGGGUUGUAAACCCCUUCUCCCGGGGAAGAAUAAUGACG